UACGAAGGGGGCUAGCGUUGUCCGGAUUUACUGGGCGCAAAGCGCGCGUAGGCGGGGGAGCAAGUCCGGUGUGAAAGCCCCCAGCUCAACUGGGGAAGGUUGCUGGAAACUGUUUCUCUUGGAGGGUGACAGAGGGAAGUGGAAUUGCUGGUGUAGCGGUGAAAUGCGUAGAGAUCAGCAGGAACACCCGUGGCGAAGGCGGCUUCCUGGGUCGACCACUGACGCUGGAGGCGCGAAAGCGUGGGGAGCGAACGGG
rnacentral:rRNA from 1 species